AUGACAGUGAAUAUACACUUGACAUCAGUCACCAAUGACAACCUAAUUCUACGUGGCAUACUGGCCUGGAUCAAUGAGUCUCCUGAAGUUGAAUUUGACAAAGAUGGAACAAUUGUGCUCAGGGGCUGCUUAUUGUUGCUUUAUGGUCAUCCUCUUCCCUGGCUCCAUUGCCUUGAAGAAGGUGAAAUUCCAUGAAUACAUUCAUAACUUCAAAAUACUACAAGCAGUAUUUUUAAGAGGGUGGGUGAUGACAAAGUAAUUUCUGUGGACAAUUAGGAAAAGGAAACUUUCAGGACAAUUUUGAAUUCAUUCAGUACUUUAAGAAGUUUUUUGAUGCAAACUGCAAUGAAAAAGACUAUAACCCUGUGGCUGCCGGACAAGGUCAAGAAACUGAAGUGGCUCCCUCUAUUGUUGCUCCAGUUCUGAAUAAACCGAAGUAACCUCUCAGCUCUAGCAAUCCAGCUCCACAUAGGACCAUUUCCACAAAUAACUGCAGCUUCUAAGGCUGCAGCUUCUAAGGCCCCAGGGUGGUAUUAAAAAAUCCUGGUGUGGGCAGUAGGAGUGCUGCAGGGUCAAAUUGAUGCUAGCAGGUCAGUGUAUUGAAACUUGGCAUUGAAGCCUUGGAGAAAGAGAUUUCUACUUCAGAAAGCUAAGGAACAAUGAAUUGAUUUGCCAGCAGAACGAGGGGCAAAAUGACCCUGUAUUGCAGAGGACUGUAGACAUGCUCUGUGCCACAGAUGAAGACUUCGUGAUAUCCGAUGAAAGGGGCCCACAGGAGGAACAAGAAGAGUUUUAA
rnacentral:lncRNA from 1 species